AUGCGAGCCAUUGUCUCGAUGAAUUUUCCUCGGCUUUUGGUGCCCACUCCCGGAGCUGCAUCCAUGGGUAGUUUUGUGAGAAUUUUGAUGACUAGUAUGUAUAACUUGUGUUCACGACAGAUUUUACAGUUCAGAAUCCGCUCCAUGCUACUGAUCACUUCCGUGUUUCCGUGGAUUUGGUUUCGGAGAUUCUCGCCGGUGCUUCCGGGAGAAGUCACGAUGCGGCACAUGACUUGCAGUGAUGCUGCAGCUACACCAAACCAUUCAUCAUGAUCAAUGAGGUGGAGCAUAUCAGAGCUUAUGGGGGCCAUAACCUUGAAGAGAAGGCUCUGGUCUUCGCAUAUGAGACUGCAGUUAUGUUUGUCAGCAGCGAGGCUGUCGAGGAUAACAAGGCCUUGCUUCAUGAGCGACUUGAAUUCACCGGAAGGGGCACUGUCAUCGUCAGGCUGUCGCUGAGAGGUUUCGAGCAGUGAAGAUAUACACAGUAUGCCUUGUGGAAACCGCUUCAAAUGGAUCUCUCCAGCAAGCUUCACCACUAUCCUGGCGGCGAGCUCCAUGAUCUCCUUGUCUUGCCGGCUUCUUGAAUCGACCGCCUGCAGCAGUUUCUCAACUAUCUGGCUGCAGGAUGCCGACCCAAUGUGCAAUCAUCGAGUGCUGCUCCUUGAGCUCUGACUGUGCCAAGAGUGCGUCCAAAAUCCUUGCCCCGGAGAGGUAGCUGCCAGAUGAUUCAGACUUCAUUAAAUCCACAGCGUACGUGACCAGGUUCCUUUCCUUUACAAAUGAUGGGUCCUUAGCGCACCCAUUUCUGGUCUGACGCAGAAUAUGAGAAGAACCUGUAGCAGAAGAGCACACCCUGGAACAGAGCCAGUGAGUACAAGACAUUCAGAGCAGGCUGCAGGUUUGCACCUCCAUCCACCUCGCCGUAAUCGCGCCGUAUCAGGCGCCACAGCGAUAUCACGCCGGUGAUCACCAACCUACACAAGUAAAGCGCCGCUAAAGGGCACAGUAUGACUGCGAACACCAGCUGCUGAAUGAACAAUAUGGUAAUCGCUACCAGUAGGCGUGCCAUGGAGGGAUCCUUGUUAUCGGCAUUUCUCCUUUUCCUGAUGCGCCAUCGCCUGUCGAUCACCGUGGCAUAUAUAGCACGCAGGAAACCGAAGUACGACCUUCUUAUAUACUUUAACUUCUCGUUCAGAGAUACAUCGAAGACCCUGCAGGUCAGAGUUCCCAGUUAGACCAUGUGUGUCCUAAGGCAAGGGUUCAACUUCAUUGCAGGAAUGACAUUGAGGAUAUCUCGCAGCUCACACCGGAGGAGAACGGUGUCCUCAUUGCUCCCUUCCCAGAGAAGAAAGUACGGGAGGCCAUGUCUUAGAUGGAACACAACAAAUCUUUGGGGCCAAAAGGAUUCCUACGGAGUUUUAUCAAAAGUUUUGGGAGGCCAUUAAAGGGGACUCGUUGCAACCCUUCACUCAUCUACACCAAGGGGAAACACCCUUGUUUCAGCUGAAUUUGGGCCAAUUAUCCUACUGCCCAAGAAAGGCCGUGCGGUGCAAUUUCAGCAGUAUCAUCCUAUUUGCCACCUAAAUAUGAGCUUUAAAUUUAUCAGUAAGGUCAUCACAAAUCGUAUUGCAGAAAUCGUCCACAACUUUAUCUGUCCAACUGAAUGAGCUUUCAUGCCGACCUGACACAUCCUUGAGGGGGUUGAUAGUUUUAUUAUGCGAAACCAUACAUGAGCUUCACAUUAAGAAGCUAGAUGGAGCGAUUUUCAAGGUUAACUUUGAUAAGGUGCAGUGUACUUCCCAACAACAGACUUUGUGUAUGAAGGGGUUCACACUACAGUGGUGCCACUAGAUUGCACGAUUUGUCCAAGGUGCGAGUGUGAGCAUCGAUGUGAAUAAUGGUGUUACUAUCGCAUAAUUUUAGAGUUGCAGUGUGUGCACUUUAGCAUUUAAAGGUGUGCAUCCUCGUUGUGUUUGUGUUGGAAACAUUGUAUCUGUAUGUUCUCUUUUACAAACUCGGUUUUUAGUGAACUUCCUGGUUAGUGAUCUAGUAUAGCUGUAUAGGUUGAA